rnacentral:tRNA from 1 species
UGGCUCAGACAGUAAAGCUUCUGUCUGCAAUGCAGGAGACCCAGGUUCGAUCCCUGG